GGGCGGGUAGCUCAGCUGGUUAGAGCAUCACGCUUACAACGUGAGGGUCGCCGGUUCGAGUCCGGCUCCGCCCA
rnacentral:tRNA from 1 species